GAAUGUGUCCCUCAGAUUUUCAUCACCUGUCACCUGAAAGUUGUUGCUGUGGAUCAGGGAGAUUCCAGGAACAAAGCUUGUACUUUCCAGAAGCUGCAGAAUAUCUGGACCCCAUUGGAGGAAUCUGACAGUGACAUUUGAGCCUGUUGCCAUGUGGGGAACUGUGGGAGCACAAGAGAGAUCCUGUUCCCCUCCAGAGAAAGGAGAGACCUUGGUCCUGAAGCUGAGAGUGAAGCUGGAUUCAAGUGGGAAGGGGACCCCCUGAUCAUUGAGGAUACUGGGCUGACCAACCUGGCAACUGAGCCCCUGCCUGAGGUGGAGGGAAAGUAACUACUGUCCUGAACUGGUCGGGCCGACAUGAGACCCACUGAAAUGAAGCAGAACCUUGACUACCCUUUGGAUAAGUCGGGACGGGCAAUAAAUACGGGCCUCGCCAGUGAUGGCAUGUGAAUGAAUUACAAGGAGAGGUGCUGCAAUGGGUUCUCAACCAAUGACUGGCUUGGUAAGCCUGGG